rnacentral:rRNA from 1 species
CGUAGAGAAAUCGAGUCUUAAUAGGGCGUUUAGUUGCUGGGUAUAGACCCGAAACCAGGCGAUCUAUCCAUGAGCAGGUUGAAGGUUGGGUAACACUAACUGGAGGACCGAACCCACUGUCGUUGAAAAGCCAGGGGAUGACUUGUGGAUAGGGGUGAAAGGCUAAUCAAGCCUGGUGAUAGCUGGUUCUCCCCGAAAGCUAUUUAGGUAGCGCCUCGGACGAAUACCAUAGGGGGUAGAGCACUGUUUCGGCUAGGGGGUCAUCCCGACUUACCAAACCGAUGCAAACUCCGAAUACCUAUGAGUACUAUCCGGGAGACAGACUGCGGGUGCUAACGUCCGUAGUCAAGAGGAAAACAAUCCAGACCGCCAGCUAAGGCCCCAAAAUCAUAGUUAAGUGGGAAACGAUGUGGGAAGGCAUAGACAGCUAGGAGGUUGGCUUAGAAGCAGCCACCCUUUAAAGAAAGCGUAAUAGCUCACUAGUCGAGUCGGCCUGCGCGGAAGAUGUAACGGGGCUAAAACUAUGUGCCGAAGCUGCGGAUGUAUACUUUGUAUACGUGGUAGGGGAGCGUUCUGUAAGCCGAUGAAGGUGUGUUGAGAAGCAUGCUGGAGGUAUCAGAAGUGCGAAUGCUGACGUGAGUAACGACAAAACGGGUGAAAAACCCGUUCGCCGAAAGACCAAGGGUUCCAGUCCAACGUUAAUCGGGGCUGGGUGAGUCGACCCCUAAGGCGAGGCCGAAAGGCGUAGUCGAUGGGAAAAUGGUUAAUAUUCCAUUACUUCUGUGUAAUGCGAUGAGAGGACGGAGAAGGCUAAAUCAGCCUGGCGUUGGUUGUCCAGGUGAAAGGAUGUAGGCAUGUAUCUUAGGCAAAUCCGGGGUACUCUAUGCUGAGAUCUGAUAGCAAGCUGUACUUGUACAGCGAAGUGGUUGAUGCCAUGCUUCCAGGAAAAGUCUCUAAGCUUCAGUUACACAGGAAUCGUACCCGAAACCGACACAGGUGGUCAGGUCGAGUAGACCAAGGCGCUUGAGAGAACUCUGCUGAAGGAACUAGGCAAAAUGGUACCGUAACUUCGGGAGAAGGUAC